rnacentral:rRNA from 1 species
UACGUAGGGUGCGAGCGUUGUCCGGAAUUACUGGGCGUAAAGAGCUCGUAGGUGGUUUGUCGCGUUGUUCGUGAAAACUCACAGCUUAACUGUGGGCGUGCGGGCGAUACGGGCAGACUGGAGUACUGCAGGGGAGACUGGAAUUCCUGGUGUAGCGGUGAAAUGCGCAGAUAUCAGGAGGAACACCGGUGGCGAAGGCGGCGAUCUGGGAAGAUACUGACGCUGAGGUGCGAAAGCGUGGGGAGCGAACAGG